AGUUAAUGAACUUGAAUAAGUAUAUAUUUUGAAAAUAUAAAAUAGAGUAGAUUCUCUAUUAACUU
rnacentral:tRNA from 1 species